rnacentral:rRNA from 1 species
GACGAACGCUGGCGGCGUGCUUAACACAUGCAAGUCGAACGGGCCUUGUCCCCUUUUUUUUUGGGGGUGGGGUUAGUGGCGAACGGGUGAGUAACACGUGAGUAACCUGCCCCUCACUUCUGGAUAACCGCUUGAAAGGGUGGCUAAUACGGGGUGUUCUGGCCUGCUCGCAUGGGUGGGUUUGGAAAGAUUCGACCGGUUUUGGUUGUUUUGGUGGGGGAUGGGCUCGCGGCCUAUCAGCUUGUUGGUGGGGUGAUGGCCUGCCAAGGCUUUGACGGGUAGCCGGCCUGAGAGGGUGGGCGGUCACACUGGGACUGAGACACGGCCCAGACUCCUACGGGAGGCAGCAGUGGGGAAUAUUGCACAAUGGGCGCAAGCCUGAUGCAGCGACGCCGCGUGAGGGAUGGAGGCCUUCGGGUUGUGAACCUCUUUCGCCAGUGAAGAAGGUCCUGCUCUUUGUGGUGGGGUUGACGGUAGCUGGGUUAAUGAAGCGCCGGCUAACUACGUG